GAUGAACGCUGGCGGCGUGCCUAAUACAUGCAAGUCGAGCGAAUGGAUUAAGAGCUUGCUCUUAUGAAGUUAGCGGCGGACGGGUGAGUAACACGUGGGUAACCUGCCCAUAAGACUGGGAUAACUCCGGGAAACCGGGGCUAAUACCGGAUAACAUUUUGAACCGCAUGGUUCGAAAUUGAAAGGUGGCUUCGGCUGUCACUUAUGGAUGGACCCGCGUCGCAUUAGCUAGUUGGUGAGGUAACGGCUCACCAAGGCAACGAUGCGUAGCCGACCGUAGAGGGUGAUCGGCCACACUGGGACUGAGACACGGCCCAGACUCCUACGGGAGGCAGCAGUAGGGAAUCUUCCGCAAUGGACGAAAGUCUGACGGAGCAACGCCGCGUGAGUGAUGAAGGCUUUCGGGUCGUAAAACUCUGUUGUUAGGGAAGAACAAGUGCUAGUUGAAUAAGCUGACACCUUGACGGUACCUAACCAGAAAGCCACGGCUAACUACGUGCCAGCAGCCGCAGUAA
rnacentral:rRNA from 1 species